UGGAAAACUUGGCUUAAACACGGUAUUUCGACUUACCGUUUGGAAAAGGGUAAGUCGAAAUCCAAAGCUUUCUCGCGGCCCUUGCUCCACAGAGAACACCGUAAAUUCUUUCUCCCGUCCUUGCUCCACACCGGCGACUGUUUGGAAUCCUUCUCAUCGGUGAGGCGGACGGUCGUCUUCUCAGAGUGUUAAUAGAGCUAUGAAUCCUUGGGCUCUUCAUCUUCAAAAACUGGGUCUGGAGCUUAAAUGUCCUCUCUGUUUGAAUUUGUUUAAACGACCAUUGUUGAUGAUGUGCGAGCAUCUGUUUUGCGAGUUAGUACCAUUUCUCCUUCUAUCUUUAUCUUCGCUUCUGAAAUUUUUUGGUUUUCAUUGCUUUCUUUUCAUUUUUUUUGGUUUUUAAAUUGUUAUAGUACGUGCAUAGCCAGAACUGAGUUUGGCUCAAAGUGCCUUAUUUGCAAAGACCAAUCUGCAGAUCGAGUUCCUUUUGAUCAAGUUUGCGAACAUGAUUGGUGCAACUGUAUCCAAGUUUUGGAAGCCGGAUGUCACUCAUGUGAUUGCUUCUACAGAUGGGAAUGGUGCAUACACCAGGACACUUAAAAGUUCUCAUGGCCAUUUCAAACGGGAAGUGGAUUCUUAAUAUAAAUUGGGUAAAGGAGUGCUUGAAAGCCAUGCAUUCUUUGAGUGAGGAACCUUACAGUUAGUCUCGAUAACCACAGGUGUUGUGAUGGCCCUAAAACUGGCAGACUCGGUAUAGAAUGAUGCACCAUAGCUCUUCGAUAGCUUUAACUUUUAUUUUGUGGGCGAUUUCGUGUCUGGUUACAAGGAAGAUCUUCAAAAUCUGGUUGUCACCGAGGGUGGUAUUGUUCUGAUGAGAAUGGAGGAACUAAUCGAACAUAAUAACAGCGGUGAUCAGACAUCUCAAGCAAAGAUGGUUGUUGUGUAUAACCUGGAUGCUCCCCAAGGAUCCGAGUUAGGAGAAGAGGUUUCAAUUAUUUGGCAGAGGGUUAGUGAAGCACAGGAUUUAGCCUAAAAAAUUAGAGGAACAAGUUACUUUUAAAUGUGA